rnacentral:rRNA from 1 species
GGAGCAAUGCGGCCUGCCAAAUACAUGCCAAAGUCGAGCGCACGAUGAGAACUUCCUCCUCAGAUGUGACGCCUGUGGAAGAGCGCACGACGGGUGACUAACACGUGAGACAGCCUGACUGCUAGAAUAGCAUAACCCCUAGAAACCGGGGCUUUACCCGAUAAUACUUUACAUUGCAUAACGAGAAGUUGAAAGGUGUCUUUUAGCUGCCCCUUACAAAUGGGCCCGGGGGACAUUACCUAGCUCGUAAGGUAACGGCUUACCAACGGCGACGAUGCGUGACCGACCUCACAGGGUGAUCGACCCCACUCGGACUCAUACACGGCCCAGACUCCUACGGUAGGCCGCAAUAGGGAAUCUUCCGAAAUGGACAAACGUCUGACGGAACAACGCCGCUUGAGUGAUGAAGGUUUUCGGAUCGUAAAAAUAUCGUUUCCGGGCCUUGGUCCCCCCCGCCGGCCCCCCCCGGGGAUUUGGUACCCCCGGAAUUGGGGGCCCCGGCUAACUACAUGCCAUCAGCCGCGAAAUACUCAGGGGGCAUGGGUUGUCCAGAAUUAUUGGGCGUAAAGCUCACUCAGACGGUAAUUACCCCGGAUGGAAAGCACGGGCUUAACCACGGAGGGACAUUGGAAACUGGAGACUGAGUACAUACCAGGAGAGCGGAAUACACGUGUAAAUUGAAAGAAACCAGAGGGAAGGACACCGUGGCUAUGCAUUCUCUGUUGGUAAAUACUCGGAGGACGAAGCUUUUUAGCGAAUUUUUACCUACUUUCU